GAUGAACGCUGGCGGCGUGCCUAAUACAUACAAGUCGAGCGAACGGACGAGAAGCUUGCUUCUCUGAUGUUAGCGGCGGACGGGUGAGUAACACGUGGAUAACCUACCUAUAAGACUGGGAUAACUUCGGGAAACCGGAGCUAAUACCGGAUAAUAUUUUGAACCGCAUGGUUCAAAAGUGAAAGACGGUCUUGCUGUCACUUAUAGAUGGAUCCGCGCUGCAUUAGCUAGUUGGUAAGGUAACGGCUUACCAAGGCAACGAUGCAUAGCCGACCUGAGAGGGUGAUCGGCCACACUGGAACUGAGACACGGUCCAGACUCCUACGGGAGGCAGCAGUAGGGAAUCUUCCGCAAUGGGCGAAAGCCUGACGGAGCAACGCCGCGUGAGUGAUGAAGGUCUUCGGAUCGUAAAACUCUGUUAUUAGGGAAGAACAUAUGUGUAAGUAACUGUGCACAUCGUGACGGUACCUAAUCAGAAAGCCACGGCUAACUACGUG
rnacentral:rRNA from 1 species